ensembl:lncRNA
GUGUGUAUAGGGUGUGUGUAUAGGGUGUGUAUAUAGGGUGUGUGUAUAAGGUGUGUGUAUUGGGUGUGUAUAUAGGGUGUGUGUAUAGGGUGUGUGUAUAGGGUGUGUGUAUAGGGUGUGUAUAGGGUGUGUGUAUAGGGUGUGUGUAUUGGGUGUGUAUAUAGGGUGUGUGUAUAGGGUGUGUGUAUAGGGUGUGUAUAUAGGGUGUGUGUAUAGGGUGUGUGUAUAGGGUGUGUAUAUAGGGUGUGUGUAUAAGGUGUGUGUAUUGGGUGUGUAUAUAGGGUGUGUGUAUAGGGUGUGUGUAUAGGGUGUGUAUAUAGGGUGUGUGUAUAGGGUGUGUGUAUAGGGUGUGUAUAUAGGGUGUGUGUAUAGGGUGUGUGUAUAGGGUGUGUGUAUAGGGU